AGCUCAGGCGGUAGAGCACAUGACUUUGAUUCAUGGUGUCGCAGGUUCGAAUCUCGU
rnacentral:tRNA from 1 species